rnacentral:rRNA from 1 species
AUUGAACGCUGGCGGCAUGCCUUACACAUGCAAGUCGAACGGUAACAGGCCGCAAGGUGCUGACGAGUGGCGAACGGGUGAGUAAUGCAUCGGAACGUGCCCAGUCGUGGGGGAUAACUGCUCGAAAGAGCAGCUAAUACCGCAUACGACCUGAGGGUGAAAGCGGGGGACCGUAAGGCCUCGCGCGAUUGGAGCGGCCGAUGUCAGAUUAGCUAGUUGGUGGGGUAAAGGCCUACCAAGGCAACGAUCUGUAGUUGGUCUGAGCGGACGACCAGCCACACUGGGACUGCGACACGGCCCAGACUCCUACGGGAGGCAGCAGUGGGGAAUUUUGGACAAUGGGCGCGAGCCUGAUCCAGCCAUGCCGCGUGCAGGAAGAAGGCCUUCGGGUUGUAAACUGCUUUUGUCAGGGAAGAAAUCUUCUGGGCUAAUACCCCGGGAGGAUGACGGUACCUGAAGAAUAAGCACCGGCUAACUACGUGCCAGCAGCCGCGGUAACAC